UGAAAUUGUCGGGAGGGA
rnacentral:snRNA from 1 species